rnacentral:rRNA from 1 species
GAUGAACUCUAGCGGCAGGCUUAAUACAUGCAAGUCGAGGGGCAGCACAGAUAGCAAUAUUGGGUGGCGACCGGCAAACGGGUGCGGAACACGUACACAACCUUCCUUUUGGUGGGGGAUAGCCUUUGGAAACGGAGAUUAAUACCCCAUAAGAUAUUGUGACCGCAUGGUUAUGAUAUUAAAGAUUUAUUGCCAGAAGAUGGGUGUGCGUAUGAUUAGGUAGUUGGUGAGGUAAAGGCUCACCAAGCCGACGAUCAUUAACUGGUGUGAGAGCACGACCAGUCACACGGGCACUGAGACACGGGCCCGACUCCUACGGGAGGCAGCAGUAAGGAAUAUUGGUCAAUGGACGGAAGUCUGAACCAGCCAUGCCGCGUGGAGGAUGAAGGUCCUCUGGAUUGUAAACUUCUUUUAUAUGGGGCGAAAAAGGGCCAUUCUUGGUCAACUGACGGUACCAUAUGAAUAAGCACCGGCUAACUCCGUGCCAGCAGCCGCCGUAACAC